rnacentral:rRNA from 1 species
GGAUAACCUGCCCUGCGGUGGGAAAUAACUCCGGGAAACUGGGGAUAAUGUCCCAUAGGCUACGGAUGCUGGAAUGCCCUGUAGCUCAAAGAUUUAUCGCCACAGGAUGGGUCUGCGGCCGAUUAGGUAGUUGUUGGGGUAACGGCCCAACAAGCCUUUGAUCGGUACGGGUUGUGGGAGCAAGAGCCCGGAGAUGGAUUCUGAGACACGAAUCCAGGCCCUACGGGGUGCAGCAGGCGCGAAAACUUUACAAUGCUGGCAACAGCGAUAAGGGGACCUCGAGUGCCAGGAUACAAUCUUGGCUGUCGUAAUGCCUAAAAAGCAUUUCAUAGCAAGGGCCGGGCAAGACCGGUGCCAGCCGCCGCGGUAACACCGGCGGCUCGAGUGGUAACCGCUAUUAUUGGGUCUAAAGGGUCUGUAGCCGGCCGGAUAAGUCUUUUGGGAAAUCCAGCAGCUCAACUGUUGGGCUUUCAGAAGAUACUGUUCGGCUCGAGGCCGGGAGAGGUGAGAGGUACUACAGGGGUAGGAGUGAAAUCUUGUAAUCCCUGUGGGACCACCUGUGGCGAAGGCGCCUUACCAGAACGGGUUCGACGGUGAGGGACGAAAGCUGGGGGCACGAACCGGAUUAGAUACCCGGGUAGUCCCAGCCGUAAACGAUGCUCGCUAGGUGUCAGGCAUGGCGCGACCGUGUCUGGUGCCGCAGGGAAGCCGUGAAGCGAGCCACCUGGGAAGUACGGCCGCAAGGCUGAAACUUAA